rnacentral:rRNA from 1 species
CCUAGUAACUGCGAGUGAAGCGGGAAAAGCUCAAAUUUAAAAUCUGGCGGUCUUUCAGGUCGUCCGAAUUGUAAUCUAGAGAAGUAUUAUCCGCGCUGGCCUGUGUACAAGUCUCCUGGAACGGAGCCUCAUAGAGGGUGAGAAUCCCGUCUUUGACACGGAUCACCAGGGCUUUUGUGAUAUGCUCUCAAAGAGUCGAGUUGUUUGGGAAUGCAGCUCAAAACGGGUGGUAAAUUCCAUCUAAAGCUAAAUAUUGGCGAGAGACCGAUAGCGAACAAGUACCGUGAGGGAAAGAUGAAAAGAACUUUGGAAAGAGAGUUAAACAGUACGUGAAAUUGUUGAAAGGGAAACGCUUGAAGUCAGUCGCGUUGACCAGGAAUCAACCUUGCUUUUGCUCGGUGUACUUUCUGGUCGACGGGUCAGCAUCAAUUUUGACCGGUGGAUAAAGGUCAGAGRAAUGUGGCAUCUUAGGAUGUGUUAUAGUUUCUGGUCGCAUACAUCGGUUGGGAUUGAGGAACUCAGCACGCCGCAAGGCCGGGUUUUUAAUCACGUUCGUGCUUAGGAUGCUGGCAUAAUGGCUUUAAUCGACCCGUCUUGAAACACGGACCAAGGAGUCUAACAUACCUGCGAGUGUUUGGGUGGAAAACCCGAGCGCGUAAUGAAAGUGAAAAGUUGAGAUCCUUGUUAUGGGGGAGCAUCGAYGCCCGGACCUGACCUUUUGUGACGGCUCCGCGGUAGAGCAUGUAUGUUGGGACCCGAAAGAUGGUGAACUAUGCCUGAAUAGGGUGAAGCCAGAGGAAACUCUGGUGGAGGCUCGUAGCGAUUCUGACGUGCAAAUCGAUCGUCGAAUUUGGGUAUAGGGG